GUAACAGGUAAUCAGCGGCCGAUAACAAAACGUUAUAUCUUAUCGACGAUUGCGGCAAUUUAUGAUCCACUGGGAUUGAUAUCUCCCAUAGUGGUAGUGGCAAAGAUCAUAAUACAAUUAUUGUGGAAAAUGUCAAUGCAAUGGGACGAGCAAGUGUCUGAACGUAUCAGUACGGAUUGGAAUGCGUUUUGUGAUAGUCUAACGCAAAUCGAUUGUUUAAAAAUACCGCGUCGAAUAAUCGGGUGUGACGCGUUCAAAUUUAUUCAAAUUCACGGUUUUUCUGACGCCAGCGAAAAGGCUUUUGGUGCGUGCGUUUAUCUACGUGCUACCGAUGCGCAUGAAAAUCAUACGGUCCGACUUGUAGCGUCUAAAUCGCGUGUAGCGCCAUUAAAAAUUCUAAUGAGUAUAUUGCAACGGAAAUUAUGAUACAAUUUCUUGAUUCAUUAAUAUCCCUCGAAAAGAAUGUUCAUCAAAAGCUUUCUGAUGUUGAUAAAAAUGCUACUGGCACAGUAACAAAAGAUUAUGCAAGAGAAAUUAUAUCGAAGAGCGGAUUACUUAAAGAUACCUUAUCAAACAUUUUUAUUGAAAAGGUACUCAACAAGUAUUCAAAUGAGGAAUAUCAAUUCAAUUACAAAGAGAUGAUUGAAAACUUAGCCACCGAUUAUGAAAAUAAACAAAUUUGAUACUUCGUGGAGAGUAUAAGAUUUUUUUUUGAUCUAAGAUAUGUUUUUAAUAUAUCAAGAAUUAAAAUAAUUACAAAAUUGAUUUUUAAAUGAUUUCAAAAAAUAAACAAAAUAUUUUUUAAAUAUUAUAUACAAGAA